rnacentral:tRNA from 1 species
CAGAUCGACGGACUGGGAGGUCCUGCGGCUUGCGGCCGUAGUGGACCUCGCGGCGAACUCGACAUCCUCGGUACAACGCCGCGUGACCGGC